rnacentral:rRNA from 1 species
GACGAACGCUGGCGGCGUGCUUAACACAUGCAAGUCGAACGGUAAGGCCCCUUCGGGGGUACACGAGUGGCGAACGGGUGAGUAACACGUGAGCAACCUGCCCUUGACUCUGGAAUAACAGUUGGAAACAGCUGCUAAUACUGGAUAUUCAUCGUCUCCUUCCUGGGGGGUGAUGGAAAGCUCCGGCGGUCAGGGAUGGGCUCGCGGCCUAUCAGCUUGUUGGUGAGGUAGUGGCUCACCAAGGCUUCGACGGGUAGCCGGCCUGAGAGGGCGACCGGCCACACUGGGACUGAGAUACGGCCCAGACUCCUACGGGAGGCAGCAGUGGGGAAUAUUGCACAAUGGGCGCAAGCCUGAUGCAGCAACGCCGCGUGCGGGAUGACGGCCUUCGGGUUGUAAACCGCUUUCAGUAGGGACGAAGGGUGACUGACGGUACCUACAGAAGAAGGACCGGCUAACUACGUG